AGUGCUUUGUUGUAAGAAUAUCUAACAUGAAACAAGUGAAGUUUUUCGGGGAAUAUUAGCUUGUGUCUGCCAUCUAAACAAUUACCGGUGUUCUCAGGACCCCAGCUGGAAUGUGUUUUCAUGGAUGGAGAAUGAUGGAGAAGGACUUCCCAUAGUAGACAGAAUGAAGUGACUGAAAGAAGAGAUACCCUUUGGGUCUUCAGGAAAGAGAAAAAGCAUUGCUGUGAGCGCUUUGAAGAAUGGGUCCAGAGAGUGACUAAGUGGCAAUACAAUUGGACCCAUGUGCCAAGUCCUGAAUUCACAUCCUGGGACUACCCCGCAAGCACGUUAGAUUCAUGUAUGCAUGCUCCUCAUGUGACUUGCUAAGACUGAGUUGAUGCUGGACUCGAACACAAAUGACUGCAGUUCAAGUCCCA